rnacentral:rRNA from 1 species
UGAACGCUGGCGGCGUGCUUAACACAUGCAAGUCGAACGAAGCACUUAAGAUUGAUUCUUCGGAUGACGUCUUUUGUGACUUAGUGGCGGACGGGUGAGUAACGCGUGGGUAACCUGCCUCACACAGGGGGAUAACAGUUAGAAAUGACUGCUAAUACCGCAUAACCCGAUAGGAUCGCAUGAUCCAGACGGAAAAGAUUUAUCGGUGUGAGAUGGACCCGCGUCUGAUUAGCUAGUUGGUGAGGUAACGGCCCACCAAGGCGACGAUCAGUAGCCGGCCUGAGAGGGUGAACGGCCACAUUGGGACUGAGACACGGCCCAAACUCCUACGGGAGGCAGCAGUGGGGAAUAUUGCACAAUGGGGGAAACCCUGAUGCAGCGACGCCGCGUGAGUGAAGAAGUAUUUCGGUAUGUAAAGCUCUAUCAGCAGGGAAGAAAAUGACGGUACCUGACGAAGAAGCCCCGGCUAACUACGUG